rnacentral:lncRNA from 1 species
UGAAAUGGAGUGGUUGGUGUAUUGUACAGUUCUAGAGAUUUGAUUUCACUCAAAACCCACCAAAUGACCCCUCCCACAAUAUUAUGAUGUUCCCCAUGUUUCGGACUCAAUCCGAUAUCAAUUGGUCCACGAAAUCGGACAAUUUAGGUUCAUACGAAAUUCGUUCUGAAAUGGUGUGGUUGGUGUAUUGUAUAGUUUCGGCAAUUGGAUUUCACUCAAAAUUCACAAAAUGACUACUCCCACAACAUUAUGAUGUUCCCC